UCCUGGGUGGAUGGCUGUGUUUAACACUGAUGGUUUGUAAUUAUAUCACAUAAACCCAUGGUGACUUCCAUCUAAGCUCUCUGCCCAUUCUUAAUCUGUCAGCGCAGGAUUUGCAGUAUUUACCUUCUGAGUGUCUGGAGUCUCUCCUGGUGCAUUCGUCUGCGUAGCCACUCCCCUGUCGGAUGGUCUCCACCUCACUCCAGAACGAGUCCAGGCAGAGUUUGUCGGGGUGCUGCUCCUGAUCCUGGGGGGACGGCGUGUGCGUGCUGUGUGCGUCUUCAGCGGCUGCCUGGUCCUGCGGGCUGGCCCAGGGCUCCACGCUCAUCUCGGUGGGGCUGGGAUUUCUGUGCCAUCUACACGACUUCACUUCAAGCACACACAUCACUCUGAUCCUGCUGAUCCAGCUCCAUCUCCAACUCCUUCUCAUCACACGUACCUGGCUUUUUUCUCGUGGGAGGAUGGCUUCACGCGCUUGCUCCUCGCUGGGCUUUGGGUAAGAUAGAGCCUGAAACGGCUCAACUUAGUGCUUGGAAACUGCAUGGUGGUGGACCCGAGCCUGCUCACCACUACCUCCUCUCUGCCUCCCAUAUCUGCAAUGCUUAAGCUCCAGGAAUUACAGUCCAGCACAAAACCUAGCUUUAUCCAGUCCUGGUAGUUGGACACCAUGUGAGUACGAUGUAAGUCUCUCUGCUGCUCCAGCUUCUCUGUGUGGUGACAGGAAGUGAUGUUGGCAGACUUAACAGAGGCUGUUUGGCUUGUUUGUGAGCUGAGUGGAGCUGGAAUGCAGGAGGGAGUGACGACUCCCCGCACAUCAACACAUCAUUCACACCAUUCACACCUGUCCCCUCCCACGUCCCUCCGAGGUGACACUCCCUGCUUGCAUCAAUUUCAUCUCUGGUUCAAACAAGAAUGUUCAACAAAACUAGUUAAAACCCCUUUGGCUGUAACCUAAUGAUGACAGUGCUUGUUCUAGUUAAGUAAAGGUCUAAUGCAUGUAAA